rnacentral:rRNA from 1 species
UUAUGUGAUCGUCUCUCGCAUAUCAAUAAGCGGAGGAAAAGGAGGGAGCUAUGGGGUACCUACGCUUAGGAUGUUGACGAGACUGUCGAUCUCAUCUAUACAUGACUCUGUGCAUAUCAAUAAGCGGAGGAAAAGAAACUAACAAGGAUUCCCCUAGUAACGGCGAGUGAAGCGGGAAGAGCUCAAAUUUGAAAUCUUAAAGGGUUUCCCUUUACGAAUUGUAGUUUAAAGAAGUGUUUUCUGUUGAGGUUUUGGUAAAAGUUCUUUGGAAUAGGACAUCAUAGAGGGUGAGAAUCCCGUAUUUGACCUUUACUUUCAACUUUGUGAUACACUUUCAAAGAGUCGGAUUGUUUGGGAAUGCAGUCCAAAAUGGGUGGUAAAUUUCAUCUAAAGCUAAAUAUUGGCGAGAGACCGAUAGCGAACAAGUACCGUGAGGGAAAGAUGAAAAGAACUUUGAAAAGAGAGUUAAACAGUACGUGAAAUUGUCAAAAGGGAAGCGUUUGACACCAGUGUUGUUUUUCUGAAAAUCAAUUAAAGAACUGUUUAUGCUAAGUUGUUUAGAUCUUUAUCAGCUAAUCUGCUUAGUUUUGAGCUUUUCUUUAAUGCACUUUUCAGUUAACAAGUCAACAUCAAUUUCUUUUGCUGUAAAAAAGCUUGAGGAGGGUGGCUUGAGAUUCGUCUUAAGUGUUUAUAGCCUCUUGCCUAUGCAGUCGGAGAGAUUGAGGUCUGCAGCGUAGAUCCUUCGGGGCUAAAUGCAUUUGUGCUAAGUUAUAACAUUUUAUAGACAACUUGUUGACUAUGAUUUGUCUUGUAGCUUACUCGCUUAUGUUAUUUUACCUACGCUUAGGAUGUUGAGUAGCGACAUACGCAC